AACGAACGCUGGCGGCAUGCCUAACACAUGCAAGUCGAACGAGACCUUCGGGUCUAGUUGCGCACGUGUGCGUAACGCGUGGGAACCUGCCCUUAGGUUCCGUAUAACUCCCCGAAAGGGGUGCUAAUACCGGAUAAUGUCUUCGGACCAAAGAUUUAUCGCCUUUGGAUGGGCCCGCGUUGGAUUAGCUAGUUGGUAGGGUAAAAGCCUACCAAGGCGACGAUCCAUAGCUGGUCUGAGAGGAUGAUCAGCCACACUGGGACUGAGACACGGCCCAGACUCCUACGGGAGGCAGCAGUGGGGAAUAUUGGACAAUGGGCGAAAGCCUGAUCCAGCAAUGCCGCGUGAGUGAUGAAGGCCUUAGGGUUGUAAAGCUCUUUUAGCCGGGAUGAUAAUGACAGUACCGGGAGAAUAAGCACCGGCUAACUCCGUG
rnacentral:rRNA from 1 species